rnacentral:sRNA from 1 species
UUUUCAAGGCUGGGCAAGUUAACUAUUUUUUUUAACUCGUUAAGUUAAGUUAAUUUGGAAAAAUGUAAGUUAAGUUUAAAGUUAAAAGUUACUUUCCUUUUUUAUUUAACUUGUUAAAGUUACAAGUUAGUUGGAAAAAAUAAGUAACUUAACUUAGUUAAAAAUAAUUUACUUUUUUUUUUUCAUAUAAAACUUAUAAUUACACCAUUUACACCUCAUGUUAAAGUUCUACAAAUAACAUAAUAUUAUAAUGUAGGUCUUUAUAUCUUAAAAAAAUGUAUUUUGUU